rnacentral:tRNA from 1 species
GGAGAGGUGGCCGAGAGGUCGAAGGCGAUUGACUCGAAAUCAAUUGUCCCCUUCCGGGGACCGGGGGUUCGAAUCCCUCCCUCUCCGCCA